AGAGUCACUCCUACGGGAGGCAGCAGUGGGGAAUAUUGGACAAUGGGCGCAAGCCUGAUCCAGCCAUGCCGCGUGCGGGAAGAAGGCCUUCGGGUUGUAAACCGCUUUUGUCAGGGAAGAAACGGUCUGGGUUAAUACCUCGGACUAAUGACGGUACCUGAAGAAUAAGCACCGGCUAACUACGUGCCAGCAGCCGCGGUAAUACGUAGGGUGCAAGCGUUAAUCGGAAUUACUGGGCGUAAAGCGUGCGCAGGCGGCUGCUCAAGUCAGGCGUGAAAGGCCUGGGCUCAACCCGGGAAUUGCGCUUGAGACUGGGCUGGCUUGAGAGCGGGAGAGGAUGGUGGAAUUCCACGUGUAGCGGUGAAAUGCGUAGAGAUGUGGAGGAACACCAAUGGCGAAGGCAGCCUUCUGGGCCAACACUGACGCUCAUGCACGAAAGCGUGGGGAGCAAACAGGAUUAGAUACCCUGGUAGUCCACGCCCUAAACGAUGACGACUAGUUGUUGGAGGAGUUAAAUCCUUUAGUAACGCAGCUAACGCGCGAAGUCGUCCGCCUGGGGAGUACGGUCGCAAGAUUAAAACUUAAAGGAAUUGACG
rnacentral:rRNA from 1 species